rnacentral:rRNA from 1 species
CAGCAGCCGCGAUAAUACGAAGGUCCCGAGCGUUGUUCGGAAUCACUGGGCGUAAAGGGAGCGUAGGCGGCGUGGUAAGUCAGAUGUGAAAUCCCGGGGCUCAACCCCGGAACUGCAUCCGAUACUGCCGUGCUAGAGGAUUGGAGAGGUAGCUGGAAUUCUUGGUGUAGCAGUGAAAUGCGUGGGGAUCAAGAGGAACACUCGUGGCGAAAGCGAGCUACUGGACAAUAACUGACGCUGAGGCUCGAAGGCCAGGGUAGCGAAAGGGAUUAGAUACCCCGGUAGUCCCUGUCUCUUAUAC